rnacentral:rRNA from 1 species
GACGAACGCUGGCGGUGUGCUUAACACAUGCAAGUCGAACGGUAAGGCCCUUUCGGGGGUACACGAGUGGCGAACGGGUGAGUAACACGUGAGUAACCUGCCCUCAUCUCUGGGAUAACAGUCGGAAACGGUUGCUAAUACUGGAUAUGAGCUUGCAAGGCAUCUUGUGGGUUGGAAAGAUUUUUUUGGUUGGGGAUGGACUCGCGGCCUAUCAGCUUGUUGGUGAGGUAGUGUCUCACCAAGGCUUCGACGGGUAGCCGGCCUGAGAGGGCGACCGGCCACAUUGGGACUGAGAUACGGCCCAAACUCCUACGGGAGGCAGCAGUGGGGAAUAUUGCACAAUGGACGGAAGUCUGAUGCAGCAACGCCGCGUGCGGGAUGACGGCCUUCGGGUUGUAAACCGCUUUCAAUUGUGACGAAGCUUUUUGUGACGGUAGCAGGAGAAGAAGCACCGGCUAACUACGUG